UACCCGGUGGUGUAAUUGGCAACACAAGGGAUUUUGGUUCCCUCGUUCCAGGUUCAAGUCCUGGCCGGGUAGCCU
rnacentral:tRNA from 1 species